UACAGAGGGUGCAAGCGUUGUUCGGAAUUACUGGGCGUAAAGGGCGUGUAGGCGGUUUAGCAAGUCAGAUGUGAAAUCCCGGGGCUUAACUCCGGAAGUGCAUUUGAAACUGCUAGGCUAGAGUGCAGUAGAGGAUGGCGGAAUACCCAGUGGAGAGGUGAAAUUCGUAGAUAUUCGGAAGAACACCAGUGGCGAAGGCGACACACUGGGCCAUUACUGACGCUGAGGCGCGAAAGCGUGGGGAGCAAACAGG
rnacentral:rRNA from 1 species